CGAUUACUGCUCAGUAACACGUAGCUAACCUACCCUUAGGACGUGGAUACCCCCGAGAAAUUGGGGUUAAUCCGCGAUAGAUGUAAUGUCCUGGAAUGGUAUUACGUCUAAAGGUAUUUCAUACAUGUUUGAAAUAUGCCUAAGGAUGGGGCUGCGGCCGAUCAGGCUGUUGGUGAGGUAAUGGCUCACCAAACCUUUGACCGGUACGGGCCAUGAGAGUGGUAGCCCGGAGAUGGACACUGAGACAAGGGUCCAGGCCCUAAGGGGCGCAGCAACCGCGAAACCUCCACAAUGCACUCACGUGCGAUGGGGCUAUCUCGAGUGCCACCUGAUGAAGGUGGCUUUUCCUUGGUCUUCAAAGCCUUGGGAAUAAGAGGGGGGCAAGACUGGUGUCAGCCGCCGCGGUAACACCAGCCCCUCGAGUGGUGGGGAUGAUUAUUUGGCCUAAAGCGUCCGUAGCCGGCCGAGCAAGUCUUCCGUUAAAUCCAGCGUCUCAAGCGUUGGACCGCGGGAGAUACUACACGGCUAGAGAGUGGGAGAGGUUAGCGGUAUUCUGGGGGUAAGGGCGAAAUCCUUUGAUCCCCGGAGGACCACCAGUGGCGAAGGCUG
rnacentral:rRNA from 1 species